AGACCCGAAACCCGGUGAUCUAGCCAUGGGCAGGUUGAAGGUUGGGUAACACUAACUGGAGGACCGAACCGACUAAUGUUGAAAAAUUAGCGGAUGACCUGUGGCUGGGGGUGAAAGGCCAAUCAAACCGGGAGAUAGCUGGUUCUCCCCGAAAGCUAUUUAGGUAGCGCCUCGUGAAUUCAUCUCCGGGGGUAGAGCACUGUUUCGGCUAGGGGGCCAUCCCGGCUUACCAACCCGAUGCAAACUGCGAAUACCGGAGAAUGUUAUCACGGGAGACACACGGCGGGUGCUAACGUCCGUCGUGAAGAGGGAAACAACCCAGACCGCCAGCUAAGGUCCCAAAGUCAUGGUUAAGUGGGAAACGAUGUGGGAAGGCCCAGACAGCCAGGAUGUUGGCUUAGAAGCAGCCAUCAUUUAAAGAAAGCGUAAUAGCUCACUGGUCGAGUCGGCCUGCGCGGAAGAUGUAACGGGGCUAAACCAUGCACCGAAGCUGCGGCAGCGAACGUAUCACUUAAAGCGAUUCAGCGGGUUACGAUUGACGGAGCGAAGCGACGUCAAAGCGUAUACAAAGUCGAGUCGGUUUAAGGAUACGUUCGUUGGGUAGGGGAGCGUUCUGUAAGCCUGCGAAGGUGGCCUGUGAGGGUUGCUGGAGGUAUCAGAAGUGCGAAUGCUGACAUAAGUAACGAUAAAGCGGGUGAAAAGCCCGCUCGCCGGAAGACCAAGGGUUCCUGUCCAACGUUAAUCGGGGCAGGGUGAGUCGACCCCUAAGGCGAGGCCGAAAGGCGUAGUCGAUGGGAAACGGGUUAAUAUUCCCGUACUUGGUGUUACUGCGAAGGGGGGACGGAGAAGGCUAUGUUGGCCGGGCGACGGUUGUCCCGGUUUAAGCGUGUAGGCUGGUUUUCCAGGCAAAUCCGGAAAAUCAAGGCUGAGGCGUGACGACGAGGCACUACGGUGCUGAAGCAACAAAUGCCCUGCUUCCAGGAAAAGCCUCUAAGCAUCAGGUAACACGAAAUCGUACCCCAAACCGACACAGGUGGUCAGGUAGAGAAUACCAAGGCGCUUGAGAGAACUCGGGUGAAGGAACUAGGCAAAAUGGUGCCGUAACUUCGGGAGAAGGCACG
rnacentral:rRNA from 1 species